CCUACGGGAGGCAGCAGUGGGGAAUAUUGCACAAUGGGGGAAACCCUGAUGCAGCGACGCCGCGUGAGUGAAGAAGUAAUUCGUUAUGUAAAGCUCUAUCAGCAGGGAAGAAAAUGACGGUACCUGAGUAAGAAGCCCCGGCUAACUACGUGCCAGCAGCCGCGGUAAUAUGUAGGGGGCAAGCGUUAUACGGAUUUACCGGGUGUAAAGGGAGCGUAGACGGCAGUGCAAGUCUGGAGUGAAAGGCGGGGGUUCAACCCCCGGACUGCUCUGGAAACUGUACGGCUGGAGUGAAGGAGAGGUAAGUGGAAUGCCUAGUGUAGCGGUGAAAUGCGUAGAUAUUAGGAGGAACACCAGUGGCGAAGGCGGCUUACUGGACUGGAACUGACGUUGAGGCUCGAAAGCGUGGGGAGCAAACAGGAUUAGAUACCCUAGUAGUC
rnacentral:rRNA from 1 species